rnacentral:rRNA from 1 species
UACGUAGGCGGAAGAUUAAGUCAGUGGUGAAAUCCUGCAGCUUAACUGUAGAACUGUCAUUGAUACUGGUUUUCUUGAAUAUAGUUGAGGUAGGCGGAAUGUGUAAUGUAGCGGUGAAAUGCUUAGAUAUUACACAGAACACCGAUUGCGAAGGCAGCUUACUAAGCUAUGAUUGACGCUGAGGUACGAAAGCGUGGGGAGCGAACAGGAUUAGAUACCCGAGUAGUCC